GCUGCUGCUCCUCCUCCUCCUGCUGCUCCUCCUCCUCCUGCUGCUCCUGCUGCUGCUGCUCCUCCUCCUCAAGCGAGCCGCGCUCUGCCCGAGGUGCCCGGCGUUCGGUCGUCGGCGCUUCGGCUGUGCUCGCCUCGUCUCAAGAGGCACGAGGGCCACCGGUGACCGCCUUUGCAAUGAAGAGCACCUGAGGUACAGUGCGCCGGUGGAGUCAUCUGGUGGUCGCUUCUGUAAGAGCAGCUGCAGGAGGAAUAGGUCAGGAGAGCGGUGGGUGGGGGUGUUGGUG